UUUUAUACCCAUGGCCGGAAGAGUGCUGAAAUCAGCCACCUGGAUCAUGCUGCCUGAGGAAGAUGGGAUGAAUAUUUGAGCCAGACAGGCUGGCCCAGGAGCAUCUACCCACUGUGUGGACUUGAGCUGACUGCAUUAAACCUUGUGGGUUCAGAGGCAAAGGAACUGAACAACUCAGGUGCAGCCUGUCUCGGUGCUUUUCCUCUGCUGUCCCCUUGGCCUGAGUGGCUUUUCCUGCUGCUGCUAUCUGCGAGCUUCACUUCUUCACUUCUUGCAAGCCACUGCUCAAAUGUCAUCUCCUCGGUGAGAACGGAAACCCCAAGAGCAAAGAGACUUUUGUCUCUUCACUGCCCCUAGGAUAGUGCCUGGCACGAAGGACAAUGGCCCAUGGCAACACCACACGUUGGUCUGAGAUCUUCGAACAUUUAAUCCGCACAAUGUGAUUUUGAGGGAGGCAGGAGGUUUCACCCAGCGUGGCCUGUUUAGUACCAGCAAGUCUGUUCAUGAUCCGAAAUGCAGCUGAAAAAAAUAAAUAUAAUUAAAA